rnacentral:rRNA from 1 species
GAUGAACGCUGGCGGCGUGCCUAACACAUGCAAGUCGAGCGAAAAGAUGAGGAGCUUGCUGCUCUCACGUUAGCGGAAGACGUGAGAGACACACGUGGAUACCCUACUUGUCAGUCUGGGAAAACUUGGGGAAACCGGAGCUAAUCCCGGAUAAUAUAUUGCACCGCAGUGUUCAAUAGUGAAAGUCGGUUUUGCGGUCACUACUAGAGGCAUCCGCGCCGCAUUAGCUAGUUGGUAAGGUAACGGGUUAUCAAGGCAACGAUGCGUAGCCGAGCGGAGAGGGUGAUCGGCCACACUGGAACGGAGACACGGUCCAGACUCCUACGGGAGGCAGCAGUAGGGAAUCUGCCGCAAUGGGCGAAAGCCUGACGGAGCAACGCCGCGUGAGUGAUGAAGGUCCUCGGAUCGUAAAACUCUGUUACUAGGGAAGAACAAAUGUGUAAGUAACUAUGCACGUCUUGACGGUACCUAAUCAGAAAGCCACGGCUAACUACGUG